rnacentral:rRNA from 1 species
GACCGUGCAAAGGUAGCAUAAUCAUUUGCCUUAUAAUUGAAGGCUAGUAUGAAUGGUUCGACGAGAGUUAAACUGUCUCCUCUUAGCUAAAUAGAAUUUUAUAUUUAGGUGAAGAAGCCUAAAUAAAAUUGAAAGACAAGAAGACCCUAUCGAGCUUAAAACAAUUUAGUAAAAUAUAACUUGUAUUAUAUAUAAAUUUAAUUACUAUAAAUUUUAGUUGGGGCAACUGAGGAACAAAUAAAGCUUCCUUUAUAAAAAAUUAAGCAUACAAGCGAUGAUUCAAGAAUCUUAAUUAAAGGAAAUAGUUACCGUAGGGAUAACAGCAUAAUCUUUUUUGAGAGCUCUAAUCGAAAAAAAGGCUUGUGACCUCGAUGUUGGACCAGAAUAUCCUAAAGAUGCAGCCGUCUUUAAGGGUUGGUCUGUUCGACCAUUAAAAUUCUACGUGAUCUGAGUUCAGACCGGCGUGAGCCAGGUCAGUUUCUAUCUUCAAUUUAAGAAAUAAACUUAGUACGAAAGGACCAGAUUAUUUCAAUAAAAUUGUUAUAAAUGAUUAAAUAUAAAGAAACAUUAAGACUUUAAAAUAUCAAAUUAGCAAAGAUUAAUGCAAUUGACUUAGGAUCAAUAGACAUAGGUGAAAUUCCUUUAUUUGAUAUUAAAUAUAUAAAGAUGGCAGAAAA